rnacentral:misc_RNA from 1 species
GAUGAAGAACGUAGCGAAAUGCGAUAAGUAAUGUGAAUUGCAGAAUUCAGUGAAUCAUCGAAUCUUUGAACGCACAUUGCGCCCGCUAGUAUUCUGGCGGGCAUGCCUGUCCGAGCGUCAUUUCAACCCUCAAACCCCCGGGCUUGGUGUUGGGGAUCGGCGAGCCUCCGCGCCCGCCGUCCCCUAAAACUAGUGGCGGUCUCGCUGUAGCUUCCUCUGCGUAGUAGCACACCUCGCACUGGGAAACAGCGCGGCCACGCCGUUAAACCCCCAACUUCUGAACGUUUGACCUCGGAUCAGGUAGGAAUACCCGCUGAACUUAAGCAUAUCAAUAAGCGGAGGA